rnacentral:misc_RNA from 1 species
AUUGCCUCCUAAGCCUAGGGUACACAGUUAACCGAUUUAAUAGCCCUUGAUUUAACCCAUCCAUAAGGGACUUACCAUCAAGCUACAGGGAGAAUAUUUACCUAUUCCAUUUGCGAAAAAAAUAUUUAGUCUUUCAACACUAGUUACGUCGAACGCCUCUAACUCUCGAGGCUUACAAUUAAGCCACCACUCUCGGUGGUCCAAAUAUAACCCGAUCCUCUCACUUCUUUACAACGUCAUAAGAUUUUUGCGCCCUCAAUACAAGGGCUGCAUUAAUGCCAUGGAAAUAGUUGUCGGUGGAGACAGCUACGAGUGCCGUGCUCAAUAGUCAAAAAGCCUCUUAGUAUCAGGACCAUAGGAAAGCAAGGACCUUUAAGUUUCCCUACAAGUGAAGAUGGUAAUAGGAAAGGCCCCAAUGGCUGGACAGAGAUAAGAGAGGGGAAGUGAAUCUGAGAACAGUAUAGGUUUAAAGCCAAAUUAAACAGCAAUAAUAGCACCACUACUUGAGAAUGACAAAAGGACUUCCAUGGAGAUGGACCCAAAGAUUAGAAUUAUGUGAUAAGGUAACAAAUGAAUAGAACAAGCAACUUCAUCAGCUAUUCAAAGUUUGAAAGAGAAAAUUCUAUCCCAUUAGCUUUAAAAAUCAUCAGGCAUAUACACUAUUCAAGAAUUUAUGGUAUUAGCCUUUCUAUAGGCAACGGGAGCAAUGAUUACUUGGCUCACCACUCAUUCAAUCAGAGAAUGUUCUAAAUACAAUAAGGUCUUGUGCUCAACUGUUACAACAGAUUUCACUCUUGAUUCAUUCAACCACCGACACCUUUGUGGCAGAAAGAAAUGUCCCAACAAGUUGGGAACUUUGUUCAAGGGAAGGAGGAGGGCACACCACAAACAACCUCUCAUCCUACACCUAUCUGUAACUCUUAUGCAAGUAAAAACAAAAGACAACAAAAAUCUGAAUGGCAAUGAAGGUUAAAAAUCAAUGGAAUAUACAAAAGAAUCACAAAGAGUAAUUGAUAUUUUACUAGCAUUUUGCGUGCCAGAACUGUGUAGUUGGUUAGUCAAAGCUUGAUGACCGGCUACACCUGCCUUGCAAAUAAUUCUCCAAUGAGAUGGUUUGCUCAAUGCUGCUCAUGGAGAGUGAAUCAUCCUCUACAUCAAGCAAUGCAAGGUUAAGAUGAGACUGUAGAUUUGAACGCGGACAUGCUUCAUCAUCCAGCAUGUCAUGUUCUUCUGCAGUAUUAACUUGCAGCCUUGCCCACUUUGUCACUUCAUCAUCCCCUUGGAGGAGCCUCACAACAAGGUUCAUUUGAGGCCUAGCUCGUGGAGAAUGUUUUACACAAAGAGUGGCAGCUAAAACCAUCCUCUCCAUCUGAUCAUGAUCAUAGUCAUCACCCAAGCUUGGGUCCAGCAAUUGGGAAACCUUUCCAUUAUUUAGAAUUGGCUUUGCCCAUAUAACUAGGCUUUCUUGGCCUUUUGGAAGAUCAUUGCUUAUAGGCUUCCUUCCUGAGAGAAGCUCAAGGAGUACAACACCAUACGCAUAGACAUCGAUCUUGUCGUUUACUUUGCCAUACAUGAAGUAUUCAGGAGCCAAGUAACUGUAGCAAAUAAUUUACUGUUAAAAACCACAGGAUUACAAUUUACAAGAACUUGUAUUUCUCAAGAUGAUUUGGCUGAAUUUUAAGGAAUAAACAUCCGUGGGUUUAUUUUCAUUGUUCAAGAUCAGCAGCAAGAACACAUAAAAACAUGAGUAACAAGGAUGAGGCAAUUAAAAUUGCAUACCCAAAGGUUCCAGCAACAUCAGUGCAGAUUAUAUGAGAUGAGGAGGUUGGUGCCCAUUUAGCAAGUCCAAAAUCAGAAAGCUGAAUUAAAACAGAAAAAGCUUCAGCACUAAUAAAUUCAAAAGAAUAAAAACUAAUACUAAUAGAAGUGAAAGCUAACACGUUAAAAAUGCAUCACCUGAGGAUCGAAAUCAUCAGACAAAAGUAUAUUUGAUGAUUUAACAUCUCUGUGGAUCACAGGUUGUGAAGUUCCACUGUGAAGAUAAUUCAAGGCCCCUGCUACUCCUACAGCAACUUUGUAUCUCUCCCUCCAACCAAAUGCAAGGGAGUCCUUUCUGUUACCAUGGAGGUUCUCUUCAAGGCUUCCUCUUGAUAGGAAAUCAUAAACAAGGAGAAGAUUGUUGUCCUCAGAACAGAACCCCAAGAGAGAAAUGAUGUUUUUGUGAUGUAAGGUAGUAAUAAUCUCAAUUUCUAAAACAAAUUGCUUUAAUAAAUCAUCAGACGGCUUUAAGAUUUUCACAGCAAGUUCCUUGCCAUCAGGAAGGCAACCUCUAUAAACCCAACUGCUGCCUCCUUUUCCAACCAAAUUUUCAGCCAAGAAAUUAGAUGUGGCUGAGAGAAUUUCUUGGUAAUUAAACAAUCUGCAAGUUGCCAAGUGUUUCUCGUGAAGACCCUCCAAUUCUUUUGGUAGACCUUUUGAAUGGUCAGGAGAAAGUGGAAUUGUCAAUUUCUCUGUACCAACUGGAACAAUUGCACCACUUUCUCCAUCUAAGCUCGAUUGAUUUUCACCCUGAUCACAACCAUUCUGUUUGUGAUCCAAAUUGGAGAUAUAUGAUGAAAGUUGCCUACUGGGCAACCUCAUUGCCCAUUGAACCACUGAGAUCUGCCUCACUGAGGAUCUAUCUGAUGCUUGACGAUCUGGUAAGACUGCACGGCGAAGUAGUGGCCACCCAGGUUUCAAUUCAGGCACCUGUCUGAUUAAAGAAGAAAAUGAACAGGAAGGUGCCUCUACCUUUGGUACUGGCACUAGAGCUAAAGAUUUAUCAUCACCACUAUUAUCACCAGAAGACUCUUCAGCAGACUGUUUACAUGAAUUAUCUAGAGAUUUAGCAACUGCUCCACAAAUUGAGCAACUCUCUUUCAUGAUACUCCCCAAACUAUUCGGACGGGCCUUAACCAAGGCCUGCUUUAAAAUCUGGUCAUCAUCCUCUCCAUCCUUUAAGGCCCUAUCAGUACCACUUUCAUUUAAUACUUUGGAAUUCUUAGUUAAUGAAAUUGACCUGUGAAUUGCAUUGAGCAGACCAUUCCGGCGAUCAUCUUUAGUUCCAUGAGAAUCAUCAGUUUUAGCCAGAGAGCCUUCUCUCUGAAACACAACUUUCCCGUUAUUGACAGCAAGAACUGAGCAAUCCUUGGGUAGCUUCUGGGCGCAAUACUUAGCAACAGAUGACGGUGACCGGAUUGUAUGGCGACUGGCGGCUGCUCCAACUAUAAUCUUUGAUGCUGAGUAGGAUUUUGCUUCCCCAACUAAAAUUUUUCGUAUCGAUGAACCUCUGCAUAUCUUGAGCUUGAGAUCCACCUGUUUCAGGUUGCAGAAACCUUCAUAGACGGCAAGAACAGAGUCAAAAGCUUUGACAAGCGACAGAAGCGAAGACUUCCCUUCUCGAUCUACGAUUUCAUUAUUACCAAGAACAUGCAGAGCAAUAACAGUAUCCCCAGGUUGUGCCAUUUUUACCAUGGCCCAGGUCAAUAACUCUCUGCUCUGCGAGUCAGGCUUGACCCCCACUAUCACCGUGCGGCCACCAGAGACCGUCAUUUCUUCUUGCCCAAGCUGCAGUAUUUUCAUUUCUAUUGUAAGCUUCAAAAGUGAGAUUUAACGUCGAUUGUUUGGGAGUUGUUUUAUCGUCGAUUUGUCGCCCGAGACUGAAUGACCAUAUUGCUUUUAUAUAGCAUUUAAGGUGCAGAAGAUGAACAAAGGCAGAGCUGGUGUGUUUUUCUUAUGUUUUUUUGGCUUAACCGCCAGUUUGGUUGUUUGCUUUUGAAGGUCGCAAAACCAGAAUAGAAAGGGAAAGCGAGGGAGAGAAAAGAGACAUGCAGUAAGGGGGAAUGUUAAAGUGCAUCCGGG